rnacentral:rRNA from 1 species
UUGGGAGAAAGUUGAUCCUGGCUCAGGAUGAACGCUGGCGGCGUGCCUAAUACAUGCAAGUCGAGCGAAUGGAUUAAGAGCUUGCUCUUAUGAAGUUAGCGGCGGACGGGUGAGUAACACGUGGGUAACCUGCCCAUAAGACUGGGAUAACUCCGGGAAACCGGGGCUAAUACCGGAUAACAUUUUGAACCGCAUGGUUCGAAAUUGAAAGGCGGCUUCGGCUGUCACUUAUGGAUGGACCCGCGUCGCAUUAGCUAGUUGGUGAGGUAACGGCUCACCAAGGCAACGAUGCGUAGCCGACCUGAGAGGGUGAUCGGCCACACUGGGACUGAGACACGGCCCAGACUCCUACGGGAGGCAGCAGUAGGGAAUCUUCCGCAAUGGACGAAAGUCUGACGGAGCAACGCCGCGUGAGUGAUGAAGGCUUUCGGGUCGUAAAACUCUGUUGUUAGGGAAGAACAAGUGCUAGUUGAAUAAGCUGGCACCUUGACGGUACCAACCAGAAAGCC